CUCACCGACAGGGGAGUGCUGUGAGACCUCCUCGGCAAGGGCUGAGCCACAGUYCGCGCCUUGGCUUUCCACGACAGGCUUUCCCAGAGCACCCCAAACUGUGCUAUGAGAAAUGGAGACACAACAAGUGAAGACUGAUCCAAGACCUUCUUCAGGAUUUCAAGACUCAGGCACACGGCUGCUCAUUGAGAGCCCCCAGGAAAACUGAAGAUCACUAAGAGGAGAAUUACUGCCAACACUGACCUUUCUUUUCACCAGAGACA